AACGAACGCUGGCGGCAUGCCUAACACAUGCAAGUCGAACGAGACCUUCGGGUCUAGUGGCGCACGGGUGCGUAACGCGUGGGAACCUGCCCUUAGGUUCGGAAUAACUCCCCGAAAGGGGUGCUAAUACCGGAUAAUGUCUUCGGACCAAAGAUUUAUCGCCUUUGGAUGGGCCCGCGUUGGAUUAGCUAGUUGGUAGGGUAAAAGCCUACCAAGGCGACGAUCCAUAGCUGGUCUGAGAGGAUGAUCAGCCACACUGGGACUGAGACACGGCCCAGACUCCUAGGGGAGGGAGGAUGGGGGAAAUUUGGAAAAGGGGGGAAAGCCGAACCAAGAAAUGCCGGGGGGGGAAUGAAGGCUUUAGGGUUGAAAAGCUUUUUUCCCCGGGAGGAAAAGGAAGGAACCGGGAGAAAAAGCCCCGGCUAACCCCGG
rnacentral:rRNA from 1 species